UACGGAGGGUGCGAGCGUUGUCCGGAUUGACUGGGCGUAAAGGGCGCGUAGGCGGUUUUGUACAGUCAGACGUGAAAUUCCUGGGCUCAACCUGGGGGGCUGCGUUUGAUACGUGCGGACUUUGAGUUCGGAAGAGGGUCGUGGAAUUCCCAGUGUAGAGGUGAAAUUCGUAGAUAUUGGGAAGAACACGGUGGCGAAGGCGGCGACCUGGUCCGAUACUGACGCUGAGGCGCGAAAGCGUGGGGAGCAAACAGG
rnacentral:rRNA from 1 species